UACGUAGGUGGCGAGCGUUGUCCGGAUUUACUGGGCGUAAAGAGCGCGCAGGCGGUCGUACAAGUCGCGUGUGAAAGCCCCUGGCUCAACUGGGGAGGGUCACGCGAUACUGUUCGACUCGAAGGCAGGAGAGGAAGUGGAAUUCCCGGUGUAGUGGUGAAAUGCGUAGAUAUCGGGAGGAACACCAGUGGCGAAGGCGACUUCCUGGCCUGUUCUUGACGCUGAGGCGCGAAAGCUAGGGUAGCAAACGGG
rnacentral:rRNA from 1 species